rnacentral:rRNA from 1 species
GACGAACGCUGGCGGCGUGCUUAACACAUGCAAGUCGAACGGAAAGGCCUGCUUUCCCUUGCGGUUUGCGGGUACUCGAAUGGCGAAGGGGUGCGUAACCCGUGCGUGCCCUGCCCUCAACUAUGGCAUAAGCCUGGGCAACUGGGUCUCAUUCCCUAUAGGACUGCAGCGUCGCUCCAUUGUUGGAACUCGGUCUUCUAGUGGUUGGGGUUGAGCUCGCGGCGUAUCUGCUUGUGGGAGGGGCAAUGGCCUACCACGGCGGCGACAGGUAGUCGGCCUGAGAGGGUGGACGGCAACAUUGGGACGGGGAUACGGCCCAGACUCCUACGGGGGGGAGCAUAGGGGAAUAUGGCACAAGGAGCGGAAGCCUAAUGGAGCAACGCGGCGGGAGGAAUGACGGCCUUCGGGUUGUAAACUCCUUUUAACCGCGACGAAGCCAGCGGAUUGGAAGGGAGGUGACGGUACUGGAAGAAGAAGCACCGGCUAACUACGUG